rnacentral:rRNA from 1 species
AUAGCUGGUUCUCUCCGAAAUAGCUUUAGGGCUAGCCUCAAGUGAUGAUUAUUGGAGGUAGAGCACUGUUUGGACGAGGGGCCCCUCUCGGGUUACCGAAUUCAGACAAACUCCGAAUGCCAAUUAAUUUAACUUGGGAGUCAGAACAUGGGUGAUAAGGUCCGUGUUCGAAAGGGAAACAGCCCAGACCACCAGCUAAGGUCCCAAAAUAUAUGUUAAGUGGAAAAGGAUGUGGCGUUGCCCAGACAACUAGGAUGUUGGCUUAGAAGCAGCCAUCAUUUAAAGAGUGCGUAAUAGCUCACUAGUCGAGUGACACUGCGCCGAAAAUGUACCGGGGCUAAACAUAUUACCGAAGCUGUGGAUUGUCCUUUGGACAAUGGUAGGAGAGCGUUCUAAGGGCGUUGAAGCAUGAUCGUAAGGACAUGUGGAGCGCUUAGAAGUGAGAAUGCCGGUGUGAGUAGCGAAAGACGGGUGAGAAUCCCGUCCACCGAUUGACUAAGGUUUCCAGAGGAAGGCUCGUCCGCUCUGGGUUAGUCGGGUCCUAAGCUGAGGCCGACAGGCGUAGGCGAUGGAUAACAGGUUGAUAUUCCUGUACCACCUAUAAUCGUUUUAAUCGAUGGGGGGACGCAGUAGGAUAGGCGAAGCGUGCGAUUGGAUUGCACGUCUAAGCAGUAAGGCUGAGUAUUAGGCAAAUCCGGUACUCGUUAAGGCUGAGCUGUGAUGGGGAGAAGACAUUGAGUCUUCGAGUCGUUGAUUUCACACUGCCGAGAAAAGCCUCUAGAUAGAAGAUAGGUGCCCGUACCGCAAACCGACACAGGUAGUCAAGAUGAGAAUUCUAAGGUGAGCGAGCGAACUCUCGUUAAGGAACUCGGCAAAAUGACCCCGUAACUCGGGAGAAGGGGUGCUCUUUAGGGUUAACGCCCAGAAGAGCCGCAGUGAAUAGGCCCAAGCGACUGUUUAUCAAAAACACAGGUCUCUGCUAAACCGUAAGGUGAUGUAUAGGGGCUGACGCCUGCCCGGUGCUGGAAGGUUAAGAGGAGUGGUUAGCUUCUGCGAAGCUACGAAUCGAAGCCCCAGUAAACGGCGGCCGUAACUAUAACGGUCCUAAGGUAGCGAAAUUCCUUGUCGGGUAAGUUCCGACCCGCACGAAAGGCGUAACGAUUUGGGCACUGUCUCAACGAGAGACUCGGUGAAAUCAUAGUACCUGUGAAGAUGCAGGUUACCCGCGACAGGACGGAAAGACCCCGUGGAGCUUUACUGUAGCCUGAUAUUGAAAUUCGGCACAGCUUGUACAGGAUAGGUAGGAGCCUUUGAAACGUGAGCGCUAGCUUACGUGGAGGCGCUGGUGGGAUACUACCCUAGCUGUGUUGGCUUUCUAACCCGCACCACUUAUCGUGGUGGGAGACAGUGUCAGGCGGGCAGUUUGACUGGGGCGGUCGCCUCCUAAAAGGUAACGGAGGCGCUCAAAGGUUCCCUCAGAAUGGUUGGAAAUCAUUCAUAGAGUGUAAAGGCAUAAGGGAGCUUGACUGCGAGACCUACAAGUCGAGCAGGGUCGAAAGACGGACUUAGUGAUCCGGUGGUUCCGCAUGGAAGGGCCAUCGCUCAACGGAUAAAAGCUACCCCGGGGAUAACAGGCUUAUCUCCCCCAAGAGUUCACAUCGACGGGGAGGUUUGGCACCUCGAUGUCGGCUCAUCGCAUCCUGGGGCUGUAGUCGGUCCCAAGGGUUGGGCUGUUCGCCCAUUAAAGCGGUACGCGAGCUGGGUUCAGAACGUCGUGAGACAGUUCGGUCCCUAUCCGUCGUGGGCGUAGGAAAUUUGAGAGGAGCUGUCCUUAGUACGAGAGGACCGGGAUGGACAUACCUCUGGUGUACCAGUUGUCGUGCCAACGGCAUAGCUGGGUAGCUAUGUGUGGACGGGAUAAGUGCUGAAAGCAUCUAAGCAUGAAGCCCCCCUCAAGAUGAGAUUUCCCAACUUCGGUUAUAAGAUCCCUCAAAGAUGAUGAGGUUAAUAGGUUCGAGGUGGAAGCAUGGUGACAUGUGGAGCUGACGAAUACUAAUCGAUCGAAGACUUAAUCAAAA